GACGAACGCUGGCGGCGUGCCUAAUACAUGCAAGUCGAACGAGAGCGACCGGUGCUUGCACUGGUCAAUCUAGUGGCGAACGGGUGAGUAACACGUGGGUAACCUGCCCAUCAGAGGGGGAUAACAUUCGGAAACGGAUGCUAAAACCGCAUAGGUCCUUUAACCGCAUGGUUGAAGGAGGAAAAGAGGCGCAAGCUUCUGCUGAUGGAUGGACCCGCGGUGCAUUAGCUAGUUGGUGAGGUAACGGCUCACCAAGGCCGUGAUGCAUAGCCGACCUGAGAGGGUGAUCGGCCACAUUGGGACUGAGACACGGCCCAAACUCCUACGGGAGGCAGCAGUAGGGAAUCUUCCGCAAUGGACGCAAGUCUGACGGAGCAACGCCGCGUGAGUGAAGAAGGUUUUCGGAUCGUAAAACUCUGUUGUUAGAGAAGAACAAGUGCUAGAGUAACUGUUAGCGCCUUGACGGUAUCUAACCAGAAAGCCACG
rnacentral:rRNA from 1 species